CUCUUAUUAGUUUAAUGGUAGAACAAUAAUUUCCUAAAUUAUAUGUCUAAGUUCGAUUCUUAGAUAAGAGG
rnacentral:tRNA from 1 species